rnacentral:rRNA from 1 species
UGCCUAAUACAUGCAAGUCGAACGAGAUCUUCGGAUCUAGUGGCGCACGGGUGCGUAACGCGUGGGAAUCUGCCCUUGGGUUCGGAAUAACAGCGGGAAACUGCUGCUAAUACCGGAUGAUGACGAAAGUCCAAAGAUUUAUCGCCCAAGGAUGAGCCCGCGUAGGAUUAGGUAGUUGGUGGGGUAAAGGCCUACCAAGCCUACGAUCCUUAGCUGGUCUGAGAGGAUGAUCAGCCACACUGGGACUGAGACACGGCCCAGACUCCUACGGGAGGCAGCAGUAGGGAAUAUUGGACAAUGGGGGCAACCCUGAUCCAGCAAUGCCGCGUGAGUGAUGAAGGCCUUAGGGUUGUAAAGCUCUUUUACCCGGGAUGAUAAUGACAGUACCGGGAGAAUAAGCCCCGGCUAACUCCGUGCCAGCAGCCGCGGUAAUACGGAGGGGGCUAGCGUUGUUCGGAAUUACUGGGCGUAAAGCGCACGUAGGCGGCGAUUUAAGUCAGAGGUGAAAGCCCGGGGCUCAACCCCGGAACUGCCUUUGAGACUGGAUUGCUAGAAUCUUGGAGAGGCGGGUGGAAUUCCGAGUGUAGAGGUGAAAUUCGUAGAUAUUCGGAAGAACACCAGUGGCGAAGGCGGCCCGCUGGACAAGUAUUGACGCUGAGGUGCGAAGCGUGGGGAGCA